rnacentral:rRNA from 1 species
UACGUAGGGUCCGAGCGUUGUCCGGAAUUACUGGGCGUAAAGAGCUCGUAGGUGGUUUGUCGCGUUGUUCGUGAAAACUCACAGCUCAACUGUGGGCGUGCGGGCGAUACGGGCAGACUUGAGUACUGCAGGGGAGACUGGAAUUCCUGGUGUAGCGGUGGAAUGCGCAGAUAUCAGGAGGAACACCAAUAGCGAAGGCAGCUCGCUGGGACGUUACUGACACUGAGGAGCGAAAGCGUGGGGGAGCGAACAGG